rnacentral:rRNA from 1 species
AGUCGUACGAGAAAUCCUGGGCAACUGGGAGAGUAAAGUGGCGCACGGGUGAGUAACGCGUGGGUAACCUGCCCUUGAGUUGGGGAUAACUCCGCGAAAGCGGAGCUAAUACCGAAUAACAUGUUCAUUCCUCCGGGGAUGGACAUCAAAGGUGGCCUCUGCAUGCAAGCUAUUGCUCAAGGAUGGGCCCGCGUACCAUUAGCUAGUUGGUAGGGUAAUGGCCUACCAAGGCGACGAUGGUUAGCUGGUCUGAGAGGAUGGCAGCCACACUGGAACUGAGACACGGUCCAGACUCCUACGGGAGGCAGCAGUGGGGAAUCUUGCGCAAUGGGGGAAACCCUGACGCAGCAACGCCGCGUGGGUGAUGAAGGCCUUCGGGUCGUAAAGCCCUGUCAGGUGGGAAGAAACGUGUGGAUGCGAAUACCAUCCACAUUUGACGGUACCACCAGAGGAAGCACCGGCUAACUCCGUGCCAGCAGCCGCGGUAAUACGGAGGGUGCAAGCGUUGUUCGGAAUUACUGGGCGUAAAGCGCGUGUAGGCGGUUGAGUAAGUCAGGUGUGAAAGCCUUCCGCUCAACGGAAGAAGUGCAUUUGAAACUGCUCAGCUAGAGUACGGGAGAGGAGAGUGGAAUUCCCGGUGUAGAGGUGAAAUUCGUAGAUAUCGGGAGGAACACCAGUGGCGAAGGCGGCUCUCUGGCCCGAUACUGACGNNGAGACGCGAAAGCGUGGGGAGCAAACAGGAUUAGAUACCCUGGUAGUCCACGCCGUAAACGAUGGGCACUAGGCGUAGGAGGUAUUGACCCCUUCUGUGCCGA